rnacentral:rRNA from 1 species
UACAAGGAUGCUCCGGUGUUCUAAGCAGACUAGAGAACGAUGCUGGGCCCGACCGAAUAGCCCACGCGAGUUAAAGGCCCCCUCUGGGCAAGAGCGAGUGCUCCGGGCUGGGCACAAACACAAAAAAAAAGUAAAGCGGAGACAUCGAUGGUCCGACCGGCCGCAAGAGGGAGGCCGACGAAGUGAGGGCAGGCCGACGGGUGGGGGAGGAUGAGGGGGCGACAAGCGCGGCAAUCAGACGUCGUAGAGAGCUGGCGGCGUGGGUGGGGGCCGGAGAUAAAGACGGAGCCGCUGAAGCGACCAGAAACACUAAGCGUAUUUAGUUCAACGUGACUAUAGCGGUCACCAAAAUCACAUUAACUGCAAAAAGGAGACAAAAAGUACAGGUGCAAAGCACAUUCAUCCUCUCCCUUGACAAGUGUCCCUCCACCUCUUCUAACAGUCCACUCCUAGAGAAUGGACACGUAGGUACUAAAAGAGGUCCAAACGGGAGACCUAGAACCUCCUUAAGGGGGCGUACACCUAACCUCCUAGCUGGCUAGUACGUAUGAACAGAAUAAAGGACCAUCGUACACCUAACCUCCUAGCAACCUCACCAGUGAGGAGCAUGACCAAGUCGCAACGGCAUCAAAUAUGCGCGUGCAUAGAACACUUCUGAUGAUGGAGCACGGGAGCACCGCGUAGGAAUAGCCCUAGAGACGGUUCGGCUAACUCAGGGUCCGGUUACUCUUGAGCUGUUAACCGUCGGUCCACCGACCUGGCCAGUCGCGUGUGUGAAAACGUGUUUUGGGGGACGGCAAAGGAAAUUAGUUGGGCGUGAGUGGAGGUGGACUUAAACGGCACCGUAACUAGUUAGUUUUGACAGAAACGGCACCACCCGCCUCGUUUGGUAAGUUGGACUGGGAUAGGUUUGUGAUGGAACAAGCACGUUGUCAGAGACUCGAAGUCUUGCGGUAAUCUCACAAGUCAGACAACAGACAACGUAGUUGCAUGGUAAGGGUACCGAAACUACUCUCCUUUUAUCUUUGGGUACAGCUCAUAACGUCUGUAAACAAACUACGACGAUUCCAAGUAGCACUACGGCGACUUCUUCGACUCUUCGUUUGGUUCGUUUUUAACCUUCAAUGGGCAGUUUAACGAAAUGACUUCUUCGACGUAAAUCUUUCUUCCUUCGUUCUCCUGCUUAAUUUCGUUCAUUACGUUGUCCUCGUAGUGAAACUCGCACAGUUCCGUUCUGCCGUACCACAAAAGACAUUUUCACGUCCGCUCCUGGCCAGGCCGGUGCACCGACGGUUAACAGCGCGACACUAUCCGGACCCUGAUUUAGCAGUGUAGGUCGCGUUCAAUUCCCUAAAUCCUAGUAUAGGCUCGUACAGGACCCUACGCCACCAGCACUGGGUCGUACGCCUGCGUAAGGCCGGCAUAGGACAGGCGGUGAACUACUUGUGGGUAGGCCCUACAAGGCCGCAACAUCUGUGCGCCGCGUGCUGAUAGGAACCAGUCACCAGUGUGAAUUACUCACCGUUGCUACGCGGCUGCUCGAAAACCCGUUCGUGGCUCGGGCCGGCUGGCGGUAAGCACAUAGACGGCUGCCUGGCUGCCACGUCUAGGCUCGCCGAUCUCCUCCUCGGUGACGGACGUACACUGGAACGCCGGGACGGUCCCGGAAAGCCGCUCCACGGGCCGGUCAGGUACCGCGCCGGGCCGGAGGGUGUCGGCCGGCUCGAGUUCUGGCUGGCCUAGGCGGGGUUUAAGCCGGCCGCCCACGCGUGUGGUCCACCGGCACCAACCCAUCGAGCCGCCGCGGCUCUCCUUCCCCGACCUGCUCAAGCGCAGGCUUGACGUGCCGAUGUUACCGUCGCCGCUGCUGUCGCCGUCGCUCCCCUUCUCACCCCUUCUCACCUCCCCCACGCCGGUCUGCCUCCCUCCCCCGUCUAUCUUUUUCUGGGUAGGACACGGUGGCUGCCCGCCCGGUCCCCUCCUGUGCGCGUCUGCCGGGCGCACAGGUGCACCACAGGCAAAAUGGGGUUUUCGCCGCGUUUGAACCCGGCGUCUACCCAGCUUUCGCCCGUGUUUUGCCUAUUUUCAGACAAACGAGGGCGCGCGACCCGGCGGAGCAAACAGGCAAAAUGGGAUUUACUUGCCCCGGCCUAUCUUAUC